UCGUACUAAACAGACCUCAAAAAUAUAAUGCUCUUUCGUAUCAAAUGGUAUGUGCAUUCCUUACUAUAAAUCUAAAUGAGCAAGGCUAGUAAAAGGUUUUCCAUAUGAAGAUUUUUAGUAAGAGAUAUUUAAGAAGGUUUGAAACUUGUUAACACUAUAGGUGUAGCAUUCGCAUUCAAUAAGAUAUGACAAACUUAAAU
rnacentral:lncRNA from 1 species